rnacentral:piRNA from 2 species
CUACAAUGAUGGUAAUAUUUUUCG